GUGCUCUCUUCGGCAGCACACAUACUAAAAUUGGAACGAUUCAGAGAUUAGCAUGGUCCCUGUGCAAGGAUGACAUGAAAAUUCGUGAAGCAUUCCAUAUUUAA